rnacentral:rRNA from 1 species
GACGAACCGAGCGAACGUUAUUCGGAAUCACUGGGCUUAAAGGGCGCGUAGGCGGGCGGCCAAGUCAGGGGUGAAAGCCCCCAGCUCAACUGGGGAAGUGCCUCUGAUACUGGCGGCCUCGAGGGAGGUAGGGGCGUGCGGAACUUCCGGUGGAGCGGUGAAAUGCGUAGAUAUCGGAAGGAACACCGGUGGCGAAAGCGGCGUGCUGGAUCUCUUCUGACGCUGAGGCGCGAAAGCUAGGGGAGCGAACGGG